rnacentral:rRNA from 1 species
UUGAACGCUGGCGGCAUGCCUUACACAUGCAAGUCGAACGGCAGCACGGGAGCAAUCCUGGUGGCGAGUGGGCGAACGGGUGAGUAAUAUAUCGGAACGUGCCCAGUCGUGGGGAUAACGUAGCGAAAGCUACGCUAAUACCGCAUACGAUCUACGGAUGAAAGCGGGGGAUCGCAAGACCUCGCGCGAUUGGAGCGGCCGAUAUCAGAUUAGGUAGUUGGUGGGGUAAAAGCCUACCAAGCCUUCGAUCUGUAGCUGGUCUGAGAGGACGACCAGCCACACUGGAACUGAGACACGGUCCAGACUCCUACGGGAGGCAGCAGUGGGGAAUUUUGGACAAUGGGCGCAAGCCUGAUCCAGCAAUGCCGCGUGCAGGAUGAAGGCCUUCGGGUUGUAAACUGCUUUUGUACGGAACGAAACGGCUCUUUCUAAUAAAGAGAGCUAAUGACGGUACCGUAAGAAUAAGCACCGGCUAACUACGUG